rnacentral:rRNA from 1 species
GGAACGUGUAAUGUAGCGGUGAAAUGCUUAGAUAUUACACAGAACACCGAUUGCGUAGGCAGCUCACUAAACUGUUACUGACGCUCAGGCACGAAAGCGUGGGGAGCGAACAGGAUUAGAUACCCUGGUAGUCCACGCCGUAAACGAUGAUCACUCGUUGUUGGCAAUACACCGUCAGCGACUAAGCUAAAGCAAUAAGUGAUCCACCUGGGGAGUACGGUCGCAAGAUUGAAACUCAAAGGAAUUGACGGGGGCCCGCACAAGCGGAGGAACAUGUGGUUUAAUUCGAUGAUACGCGAGGAACCUUACCUGGGCUUAAAUGCAGAACGAUUUCCGCCGAAAGGUGGAUUCCUUCGGGCGUUUUGCAAGGUGCUGCAUGGUUGUCGUCAGCUCGUGCCGUGAGGUGUCGGGUUAAGUCCCAUAACGAGCGCAACCCUCAUCGUUAGUUGCCAGCGGGUAAUGCCGGGGACUCUAACGAAACUGCCGGUGUAAACCGUGAGGAAGGUGGGGAUGACGUCAAAUCAGCACGGCCCUUAUGUCCAGGGCUACACACGUGUUACAAUGGCCAGUACAAAGGGCAGCUACCUGGUGACAGGAUGCUAAUCUCUAAAACUGGUCUCAGUUCGGAUCGGAGUCUGCAACUCGACUUCGUGAAGAUGGAUUCGCUAGUAAUCGCGCAUCAGCAACGGCGUGGUGAAUACGUUCCCGGGCCUUGUACACACCGCCCGUCAAGCCAUGGAAGCUGGGGGUGCCUGAAGUCCGUAACCGCAAGGAGCGGCCUAGGGUAAAACUAGUGACUGGGGCUAAGUCGUAACAAGGUA